rnacentral:rRNA from 1 species
GACAGAGGGUGCAAACGUUGUUCGGAAUUACUGGGCGUAAAGCGCGUGUAGGCUGCUUCGCAAGUCGGAUGUGAAAGCCCUGGGCUCAACCCAGGAAGUGCAUUCGAAACUGCAGAGCUGGAGUCCUGGAGAGGAAGGCGGAAUUCUCGGUGUAGAGGUGAAAUUCGUAGAUAUCGAGAGGAACACCGGUGGCGAAGGCGGCCUUCUGGACAGUGACUGACGCUGAGACGCGAAAGCGUGGGAAGCAAACAGG